GUGCCAGCAGCCGCGGUAAUACGUAGGGGGCAAGCGUUGUCCGGAUUUAUUGGGCGUAAAGCGCACGCAGGCGGUCUUGCCAGUUUCGAGUGACAGGUGGUGGCUUAACCAUCACAGGCCUCGGAAAACUGCAAGACUUGAGGACUUCAGAGGGACGCGGAAUUCCAGGUGGAGCGGUGAAAUGCGUAGAGAUCUGGAAGAACACCAAAGGCGAAGGCAGCGUCCUGGGAAGUAUCUGACGCUCAGGUGCGAAAGCUAGGGGAGCGAACGGGAUUAGAUACCCCGGUAGUCC
rnacentral:rRNA from 1 species